CCAUUCCCCUGACCCUCUCAAGGGCAUCACAUGGGCCCUUCCUGAGGAUGGGGCUAAAUCCCUGCUGCCUCCAGGAAGACUCUGCCUCGAACAUUCAGAGUCAGCAGCCCUUGUGGGAGAGCAAAAGGAAGAAGGCUGUGUUGGGCAAGGUCCCCUCGUGUGAUUUAUUACAAGUCUGAGGUCUCUGACGAGCUCAGAGCAGAGACCUGGAACCCAGCCACAGAUCCCUGGAGAGAUCUGGGGGUGCCACAUGGGAGUGUGGAGCCCGAGAGGAACCCUCUUCAGGAGGAGCAGAGAGUGUCGCAGAUGUGAAUGGUCAGUCUCAGGACCUGGGACGGAAACGAUCUUGCCUUUGAAAUAGACUCAAGGAUCAUGCAGUUAAGAGCUUUCCAGAAAGCCUUGGGACAGAAAGAGAUGAGACUAGGUUGUGAUCCUUUAAAGGGAAGCUGCAUCUGUGGUCUCCUACCGCUGAAGGACAAUGACAGUGACUGAAAUAUUUGCUCAACACAGGCUCCCCCGAUGCCUCUGGAACACAGGAGCACUUUCACCCAUCCAGAAGGAGGGGUUGAAAAAAGGAGGAAAGAAGAGGGUGGUCCAGAAUGUAGGCUAGCUUCUCGCUGAGCUCUCUCAUUUGUGUCUGGUUGAACAAACCAGCCAGGAGCUGGAAGGGAGGCUGCAAAUGUCAGAUGGGUGGUGUCUUAGUCCAUUUUUUUGUGGCUAUAACAGAAUACCUGAGACUGGGUGAUUUAUAAAGAAAAAAGGUUUAUCUGGGCUCAUGGUUCUUCUGGUGAGGACUUGUGCUCCGUCAACCCAUGGUGGAAAGUGAAAGGACAAGCAGGAGCACUGGCAAGAGAGAACCCAAGGGCAUAAGGUGCUCCCCAGCCCACCUCCCAGUCUUGGUGGUGACCACCUACACUCAGGACACACAGACAGAGUGGGCGGUGAGGGGGAGUUUGCCUGAAAGGAGAGGAAGCCAGGAUAGGGAGGUUCCUUCCACAGAAUCUAAAAUGCAAUUUGCAAAGUGGGCGAGGCUGUCAGGGAAAAUGCCCGAGGCACCCCCAAGACCCCCUCCGGAAGAUCCUGGGAGAGAUUGACAAGAGAAAGCCCCUCCCACGAGGAUCAGCCACACCUGGCUCCCUGGGACCCCAUGGCUCACUGUGAGGUGAGGCCCCGACUGCCGCCCCAGGGACACCCGUGGACGGGGAGCUCCUCCCCAGGGCCGGGCGACCUUCCUGGUGUAUCCCAGUCCCCAGCGCGGCACCACUGUGCAAGGUCCUUGUGGCCCCUCGUGACCAAUGGAGGUCCCCUCGCCCGCCCGACUCCCCCCUCCUGGGGCCGCAAGAGAGAAGCGAUCUUCUGGGUGGAGAUCAAGGUCUCAGCCCAGAUGGACCCUGGGGAGCUGGGGACUGGAGAU
rnacentral:lncRNA from 1 species